rnacentral:rRNA from 1 species
GACGAACGCUGGCGGCGUGCUUAACACAUGCAAGUCGAACGGAAAGGCCCUGCUUUUGUGGGGUGCUCGAGUGGCGAACGGGUGAGUAACACGUGAGUAACCUGCCCUUGACUUUGGGAUAACUUCAGGAAACUGGGGCUAAUACCGGAUAGGAGCUCCUGCUGCAUGGUGGGGGUUGGAAAGUUUCGGCGGUUGGGGAUGGACUCGCGGCUUAUCAGCUUGUUGGUGGGGUAGUGGCUUACCAAGGCUUUGACGGGUAGCCGGCCUGAGAAGGUGACCGGCGACAUUGGGACUGAGAUACGGCCCAGACUCCUACGGGAGGCAGCAGUGGGGAAUAUUGCACAAUGGGCGGAAGCCUGAUGCAGCAACGCCGCGUGUGGGAUGACGGCCUUCGGGUUGUAAACCGCUUUCGCCUGUGACGAAGCGUGAGUGACGGUAAUGGGUAAAGAAGCACCGGCUAACUACGUG